GACGAACGCUGGCGGCGUGCUUAACACAUGCAAGUCGAACGGAGAAACUCUUCGGAUGGGCUCAGUAGCGAACGGGUGAGUAACACGUUGGCAACCUGCCCCCGGCUCUGUGAUAACUCCAAGAAAUUGGGGCUAAUACCCGAUGUUCAGCGCUUCCCGCAUGGCUGGUGGUGGAAAGGUUUUCCGGCUGGGGAUGGGCCCGAGGCUUAUCAGCUUGUUGGUGGAGUAGUGGCCUCCAACGGCGACGUCGGGUAGCCGGCCUGGGAGGGGGACCAGCCACCAUGGGCCUGCGGCACGGAGCAGAAUCGUAUCGGCGGCAGCGGUGGAGAGUCUUGCGGAGUGGGCCGACGCGUGACGCGGAGACGCCGCGUGGGGGAUGCCGGGCUUUGGGUUGUGAACCUAUUUGAGCGGGACUGAACAGGAAGUGACGGUACCUGAAGAAGAAGCCACGGCUAACUACGUG
rnacentral:rRNA from 1 species